rnacentral:tRNA from 1 species
GGUUCCGUGGUGUAGGGGUUAACAUGCCUGCCUGUCACGCAGGAGAUCGCUGGGUUCGAUUCCCGUCGGGACCG